rnacentral:miRNA from 12 species
GCCGAACUACGUCUCCUUAUAC